CUACGGGAGGCUCCAGGCGAGAAAACUUUGCAAUGUGCGAAAGCACGACAAGGUUAAUCCGAGUGGUUUGUGCUAAACGAACCUUUUGUCAGUCCUAGAAACACUAACGAAUAAGGGGUGGGCAAGUUCUGGUGUCAGCCGCCGCGGUAAAACCAGCACCUCAAGUGGUCAGGAUGAUUAUUGGGCCUAAAGCAUCCGUAGCCGGCUCUGUAAGUUUUCGGUUAAAUCUGUACGCUUAACGUACAGGCUGCCGGGAAUACUGCAGAGCUAGGGAGUGGGAGAGGUAGACGGUACUCGAUAGGAAGGGGUAAAAUCCUUUGAUCUAUUGAUGACCACCUGUGGCGAAGGCGGUCUACCAGAACACGUCCGACGGUGAGGGAUGAAAGCUGGGGGAGCAAACCGGAUUAGAUACCCUAGUAGUC
rnacentral:rRNA from 1 species